rnacentral:lncRNA from 1 species
UGGCACAGGGCCCAAGGGUGGAGGCUGAAGGUGGGAGGACAGCCAAUCAUCACUUAUCUUUCCUGAAGACCAGAGAACCAGGCCAAAGCAUUUCAGGUUGUGGGGAAGGGGGCUUACGGAGUCUCUGUGCCAUCUCCUUCUUUCAGAGAUGGAAAAACUGAGGCCCAGAGAGGAGCAGAGGCUUGGCUUAGCUCCACCCCCACCAUCCACGCACCCUCCCCAUCUGGGGAUCUGGGGCUUGCACAUAUGAAACUGUUAGAGAACAAUGCGUGCAUUCUGUAAUCAAGGCUAAUUGGUGUGGUUCAGAAGAGGAGAAAUGCCAGGCGUUUGGGGGCAGGACAUCAGUGGAUCUCUGAACCAACCACCCAGGAAUAGUCCACGAAGAAUUAGAGCAGCUCCUGGGGCCUGGGAAGGGCAAACCUUGGCGACCGCAGGUGCACACAGAUCUGAGGCCCUGAUCUGUUCCACUCUCUUUAUGCCAAACAGAGGAGGGACGCGAACCCCAGCAUGA